rnacentral:rRNA from 1 species
UACGUAGGGUGCGAGCGUUUAAUCGGAAUUACUGGGCGUAAAGUGUGCGCAGGCGGCCGCGCAAGUCGAGUGUGAAAGCCCCGGGCUUAACUUGGGAAUUGCGCUCGAAACUACGUGGCUAGAGUGUGGCAGAGGGAUGCGGAAUUCCAGGUGUAGCGGUGAAAUGCGUAGAUAUCUGGAGGAACACCGGUGGCGAAGGCGGCAUCCUGGACCGGCAUUGACGCGUGAGGCGCGAAAGCUAGGGGAGCAAACGGG